GAUGAACGCUGGCGGCGUGCCUAAUACAUGCAAGUCGAGCGAACAGAUGAGGAGCUUGCUCCUCUGACGUUAGCGGCGGACGGGUGAGUAACACGUGGAUAACCUACCUAUAAGACUGGGAUAACUUCGGGAAACCGGAGCCAAUACCGGAUAAUAUAUUGAACCGCAUGGUUCAAUAGUGAAAGACGGUUUUGCUGUCACUUAUAGAUGGAUCCGCGCCGCAUUAGCUAGUUGGUAAGGUAACGGCUUACCAAGGCAACGAUGCGUAGCCGACCUGAGAGGGAGAUCGGCCACACUGGAACUGAGACACGGUCCAGACUCCUACGGGAGGCAGCAGUAGGGAAUCUUCCGCAAUGGGCGAAAGCCUGACGGAGCAACGCCGCGUGAGUGAUGAAGGUCUUCGGAUCGUAAAACUCUGUUAUUAGGGAAGAACAAAUGUGUAAGUAACUAUGCACGUCUUGACGGUACCUAAUCAGAAAGCCACGGCUAACUACGUG
rnacentral:rRNA from 1 species